rnacentral:rRNA from 1 species
GUUGAACGCUGGCGGCAUACUUUACACAUGCAAGUCGAACGGCAGCGCGGGCUUCGGCCUGGCGGCGAGUGGCGAACGGGUGAGUAAUAUAUCGGAACGUACCCAAGAGUGGGGGAUAACGUAGCGAAAGUUACGCUAAUACCGCAUACGAUCUAAGGAUGAAAGCAGGGGAUCGCAAGACCUUGUGCUCCUGGAGCGGCCGAUAUCUGAUUAGCUAGUUGGUGAGGUAAAGGCUCACCAAGGCAACGAUCAGUAGCUGGUCUGAGAGGACGACCAGCCACACUGGAACUGAGACACGGUCCAGACUCCUACGGGAGGCAGCAGUGGGGAAUUUUGGACAAUGGGGGGCAACCCUGAUCCAGCAAUGCCGCGUGAGUGAAGAAGGCCUCGGUUGUAAGCUCUUUGUCUAGGGAAGGAAAAGGACGUAGUGGCUAAUAUCCAUAGCUGCUGACGGUACCUGAGAAUAAGACACCGGCUAACUACGUGCCAGCAGCCGCGG